GGACUACCGGGGUAUCUAAUCCUGUUUGCUCCCCACGCUUUCGUGCCUGAGCGUCAGUGUUAGCCCAGGGGGCUGCCUUCGCCAUCGGUGUUCCUCCGCAUCUCUACGCAUUUCACUGCUACACGCGGAAUUCCACCCCCCUCUGCCACACUCCAGCUCGCUAGUUUCCAUCGCAGUUCCCAGGUUAAGCCCGGGGCUUUCACGACGGACACAACGAACCGCCUGCGCACGCUUUACGCCCAGUAAUUCCGAUUAACGCUCGCACCCUACGUAUUACCGCGGCUGCUGGCAC
rnacentral:rRNA from 1 species